GAGUGAUGUACAUGUUGGAAAUACAGAAAAAACAUCAAGAAGAGAUAAUGAAAAACAAUAAAAUAAAACAAAACCUGAAAGUUUUUCUAUAUGAAGUUAAUUUCAGACAUUCUUUUAGGCAGCUUUGCAUUGAGAGGUUAGUUUGUGAACUAAUCCCCAUUUACUGUUUAUUUUCAGACCGUUGGUAUCCCCAGGGAAGAGAGCCAAGCAUCCGUGUGAUCAGCCUUUCUCUGCUUAUGGAAUUGGUUCUCUCGUUAGAAGGAAGCACAGAUCAAGCAUUUUCUCUAUGCCAGCUUCCUACUUUCCUUAACAUCUGCCAAAUCCUCCUCUCAGGGCUCUCAACUGAACUGUAUCUAACACCUCCAUCAGAAUAGCAGGAUAUGAUGCCAACUGGCCAGCGAUUAAAGUAAGAAGACAGUUCUAUUGCCUAGCUUUGUUAACUAGAAGAAGCAAAGCUGGCACUUAAGGUUGAUCCUGAAGCUGACUUGUACUCUACUUCUCCAGUCUGCCUGCUGGAAAGUAGAAGCAUACUUUGCUCUCUGUGGCUAGCAGUUGUCAUCGAUGGGUUCAUUAAUUUAUUAGUUAAUAACACAUGCUGGCUCCACAUCGAGGCAUUCAUAACAGCAGAAAAGGUAUGCACAUUAGGAUUUAGUUACUUUGUAAAUAGUGCCAUGUCACUCUGACUAAACCAGCUGCCUAGUCCGGAGUAGUGUGGGUAAUGUGCUGUGAUGGGAAAGGGAUAUGGCAGGAAGAUGGUCAUAGAGUUGAGCUCUGAUGUACCAUAUAAUAGUCUUCCUUUGUUUCCCCUUCAUAGGGGGAAAUAU
rnacentral:sRNA from 1 species